GCUGAUGGAAAAAUUGUUGAUUAGUCUUGGCCAAUGAGUCUUUCUAUUACAUUCGAUCGUAUGAACAUUUCGUGUAAUGAAUUGAGUACGACAGGGUCAUUCAGGUCUCCAGGUAUUAGGACAUUAUUUGAUUAUUAAUCAUUUUGUGGGAAUGACUAGAGAAAAUCCUUAUGGUGGAAUUUCAUUACUUUUUUCACCUUUCCCUUUUAACGUGGAAAAAUAAUUGGAUGAAGAUGAUGUUUUAUUUAAUGCGUUAUAACAGGUUCGCCUGCGUAUUUUUAUUGGACGUCGAGGAAGUUAUAAUGGACACCCAAGAACCUUUUACGAUAGAUUUUAAGAUUUUUAAUUAUCACGUGUCGGUUAAAUAGCGUUUGGAAAAUUUCUUAAAUGACCUUUUAACAAUUAUAUUCUUAUUAUGAAUAAAUAAUUGAAGUUAUCGGAAUUCUUAGGGAAUUUUCACUUUUGUGUAUAAAAUAAAUUUCUCAUGACAUUCUGAAUAUUGAGCGAUUCUCGAAAAAUUGACUUUACUUUUUAUUGACGAAUUUCUGCUGAUCGUAAAUAAUAUUUCGUUGUUUAUUUAUGGAAAGGCUUUGAUUAAAAUUUUUCUGAUGAAUUUUUCGACGUACGUCACAUAUUGAGUAUCGAUUAACCAAAAAAAGAAAGACGACGAGAGAUUUCGAAAUGGUAUGCCGAGUGUGGGCCAAUCCAGUUAUUCUAGAUGGAUAAGCCAAGAAUGAAUGAAGAGAAAAAGAAAAUGGAGGAUUUUAAAAGUGGCAAAAGAAAAUAAAAGUGAGUGUGGAAAAAAUUCGAUACUCCGUGAAAUGAUAAGGUGAGACCAUUAAUGCUGGUGUCGAUGACGUUAUCCUCAGGGAGAACUUAUCGAGGACCCGAAAUACCUGAGGUUCCAAAAUUACUUGGUUUAAUUCAAUGGAGAUAAUGAGAUACCUUGGUUGUGAAGUAUCGCCAGAGAAAUUCUACAAAUAUCUUCAUUUUCGUUGGAGAAUAAAUUAGCAGAUAAAUGAACGAAUUGAAUCAUCUCAGUACGACUCAUCUGAACCAAUAAAUGCUGAACCAAUAAAUCAUUACGUUCACUCCAUAAUUUUAUAAUUUUUCAAUCGGGAUUUAGUCGCUAAUAUGCUAAAUGAUUUAACCAUCAGACAUUAAAGAGAGCAAACUCGAUCCGAUGGCGAAGGGGCUUUUAGUUGAAGCAUGUCGAGUGGUACCGUUAAUUAGACUAAUUGAAAACAUUCCUCGUUGCCUCCCUCUAUGUAUAAAUUUCGACGUAUUUAUCAGGAAUAUCCCCAAGAGAAGUCGAUUGUGGUGAUUUGCUUGAGCUCCCUGGGGAUUACUUCUGUGUACGUUGAGGAAUUUAUAUAUUUUUAUAUUUAAAUCUUAAAGGAUCACUCCCAAUUCGAUAUUGUUGGAAUAUAGCCUCAGUCUUCUACGAAUUGAUUUCUAUGAGUCUAUGGUUUCAAAAAUGUAUCAACAUAGAGAGAGAUGUUGGAAUUAGACAUAAACAUAAGCCAUGAGGUCAUGUGGCAAAGGGACUGGGGAUCCUUCCUCAUAUUAUGACGAUUUUUCUUUUGGUCUCGUUGACCACUUUUAGUCUGCUGUGGCAGGUCGUAUUGAACAGACAUUUCUUCCUCGUGCCAUUUUCAAUAAAUUUAA